rnacentral:rRNA from 1 species
UACGGAGGAUCCAAGCGUUAUUCGGAGUGACUGGGCGUAAAGAGUCGCGUAGGGGGUUUGUUAAGCAAAUAGUGAAAUCUUGUGGCUCAACCAUAAGGCUAUUAUUUGAACUGGCAGACUUGAGAAUAUGAGAGGUAGAUGGAAUUCCCAGUGUAGGAGUGAAAUCCGUAGAUAUUGGGAGGAACACCAAUGGCGUAGGCAGUCUACUGGCAUAUUUCUGACCCUGAGGCACGAAAGCGUGGGGAGCGAACAGG